GCAAGUCGAACGAGAACGGGUUUAAGUUUACUUAAACUGUCAGCUAAGUGGCGCACGGGUGAGUAAUGUAUAGUUAACCUGCCCUCGAGAAAGGAAUAACAGUUGGAAACGACUGCUAAUGCCCUAUAUGCCUUUAAGACAUAAGUCUGCAAGGGAAACGCUUUUGUGCUCGAGGAUGGGACUGUAUGGUAUCAGUUAGUUGGUGAGGUAAUGGCUCACCAAGACAAUGACGCCUAACUGGUUUGAGAGGAUGAUC
rnacentral:rRNA from 1 species